CAAAUACUACCUAAGUCCCAAAUUACUUGUCUUAAAUUUGUCUAGAUAUGAAUGUAUUUAGACACAUUAGAUACAUCUGUACCUAAACAAAUCUAAGACAAGUAAUUUGGGACGGAGGGAGUAUCGA
rfam:Triticum aestivum genome assembly, contig: Triticum_aestivum_CS42_TGACv1_scaffold_393705_5AS